CAAUAGCGUAUAUUAAAGUUGUUGCAGUUAAAAAGCUCGUAGUUGGACUUCUGCGGGUGGCGGCCGGUCGUGCUCGAAACGGGCGUGAACUUGGCGUGCUGCCCGCAUCUUUGGGGAGAUUGUGCGUGGCAUUAAGUUGUCGUGCAUGGGAUUCUCAUCAUUUACUGUGAAAAAAUUAGAGUGUUUAAAGCAGGCCUUUGCCUUGAAUACAUUAGCAUGGAAUAAUAAGAUAGGACCGUUGUCUAUUUUGUUGGUUUACGGAUGUCGGUAAUGAUUAAUAGGGAUAGUUGGGGGUAUUCGUAUUCAGUUGUCAGAGGUGAAAUUCUUGGAUUUUCGGAAGACGCACGACUGCGAAAGCAUUUACCAAGGAUGUUUUCAUUAA
rnacentral:rRNA from 1 species